rnacentral:rRNA from 1 species
CAGCUAGUUGGUGAGGUAAAGGCCCACCAAGGCAACGAUGCGUAGCCGACCUGAGAGGGUGAUCGGCCACAUUGGAACUGAGACACGGUCCAGACUCCUACGGGAGGCAGCAGUGGGGAAUAUUGCGCAAUGGGGGAAACCCUGACGCAGCAACGCCGCGUGAAUGAUGAAGGCCUUCGGGUUGUAAAGUUCUGUCUUCUGGGACGAUAAUGACGGUACCAGAGGAGGAAGCCACGGCUAACUACGUGCCAGCAGCCGCGGUAAUACGUAGGUGGCAAGCGUUGUCCGGAUUUACUGGGCGUAAAGGAUGCGUAGGCGGACAUUUAAGUCAGAUGUGAAAUACCCGAGCUUAACUUGGGUGCUGCAUUUGAAACUGGGUGUCUAGAGUGCAGGAGAGGUAAGUGGAAUUCCUAGUGUAGCGGUGAAAUGCGUAGAGAUUAGGAAGAACACCAGUGGCGAAAGCGACUUACUGGACUGUAACUGACGCUGAGGCAUGAAAGCGUGGGGAGCAAACAGGAUUAGAUACCCCGGUAGUCCACGCCGUAAACGAUGAAAUAC